GACGAACGCUGGCGGCGUGCUUAACACAUGCAAGUCGAACGGUGAAGCGCUUGCCUUUUUGGUGGGUGUGGAUGAGUGGCGAACGGGUGAGUAACACGUGAGUAACCUGCCCUCUUCUUCUGGAUAACCUCAUGAAAGUGGGGCUAAUACGGGGUAUUCCGGGUCUGUCGCAUGGCGGGUUUGGGAAAGAUUGUGCCUUUGGGUGUUUUCGGUGGGGGAUGGGCUCGCGGCCUAUCAGCUUGUUGGUGGGGUGAUGGCCUACCAAGGCGGUGACGGGUAGCCGGCAUGAGAGGGUGGAGGGCCGGACUGGGACUCGGACACGGCCCAGCUGCGUGCGGGAGGCGGCAGUGGGGAAUAUUGCAGAAGGGGCGCGAGGCUGAUGCAGCGACGCCGCGUGAGGGAUGGGGGCCGUCGGGUUGUGAAGCUCUUUCGCCAGUGAAGCAGGCCUGCUCCUGUGUGGGUGGGUUGACGGUAGCUGGAGAAGAAGCGCCGGCUAACUACGUG
rnacentral:rRNA from 1 species